GACGAAGGGGGCUAGCGUUGUUCGGAAUUACUGGGCGUAAAGGGCUCGUAGGUGGCCAACUAAGUCAUACGUGAAAUCCCUCGGCUUAACCGGGGAACUGCGUCUGAUACUGGAUGGCUUGAGGUUGGGAGAGGGAUGCGGAAUUCCAGGUGUAGCGGUGAAAUGCGUAGAUAUCUGGAGGAACACCGGUGGCGAAGGCGGCAUCCUGGACCAAUUCUGACACUGAGGAGCGAAAGCCAGGGGAGCAAACGGG
rnacentral:rRNA from 1 species